CCUGAAACACGAGAGGAGGUAGCAGAAACUCCUGUCUGCGCAAUAUCCAUUCGACAUCUUUCGUUCGUGCUCAGAAAAGGGAGGGGGUUCUCCCAAGUAGACCGACGGUUGCUGUUCUCUGCUCAACAGGGUUCUGCCUCAAACAUCAGAUGUCUUUCCCACCGCCGUCUAGCAUACGUGCAGGGCUUGAAAGCGCGUUAUGGGGGACUUCCCAGUGCAGAAGCGAAGAGAAGAUGCCUGUAACACUGAUGCCAACAGAAGGAGGCACGCACCCUUGGUUGGUGCGUACAGGGCCCAGUGACAGACGAAGAGGGACUUUAACCACCAACUCAGCUUAGGAGGAAGCCAAGAAUGAAGGUUUUCUAUCUCUCAGCCUUAUGGUAAGGCCAACAGAUCAGAGGUGACUGCCAUUGGAAAAACAGCUUGUUACAAUUUCCAAUAAGAGGGGCACAUCACCCAUAGAGGACCACACAGAGAAAUGCCGGGGUCAGUCAAGAGGCAGAAGGAACAAGGGAAGCAUGGGCAGAAGCCUUUAUUGUGGUUUCUAUGGGAAAGGCAAUGCGAGGUAAGGUAGGUAGGGUUAGAAUUGACGAGUUUGAAUAAUUUUAGAGGGCUCUGGGCAGGGAGGUUAUCUCUAGCUGCCUGUUGUCCAGCCCCGGGGAGAUUAAUGCAGAGAAGUACUGUCCUUUGGGGUGAAAGAGCCCAGAAAGGAGGUAGUUUAGGGCAGGGACUGUGGAUUGCCUAGUUUACAUAUGACAGUUGAGUCAUUUGCUAUCUCUAAGAAUUGGCUGUCUCUAAGAGGGCCAGUCUCUCUCGAGGCGGAGAGGUCCCAGAUGCCUGAGAGUCAGGAAUACAGAAAAUAAGAAAAUAUAGUACAUACACCAAUUAACAUAUUCCCUUGAACUCACAAUGUGUGUGUAAAUAAAUGAAAUCAGUAGUGAUAAAGAGAAAUUAUCCUAACUCUGACAUUGGUAUUAAUUUAUGACAUUGGUAAUUAAUUUAUUGGUAUUAACCACAUGAUGUGGUUAGCUGAUAGUUUUAUACAUAAAUACUACCAAAUAUCAAUCAGGAGGAAAUACCAAAAUUGAUCUAAGUAUCGGCUGUUUUUUUCAUUAUUGAAAAACUAUGAUAGGGUCACAAACUUAAAGAUAAAUGUUUUCCUGCAAGGUUGAGAUUAUACUUACUUUUUUCAAAUUUAGACUGAAAAGGAUCUAUUUUAGGCACAUGCUUUUCCAGCAAAAAUUAGUUUUGUUUCCUUCUAAACAGUUUUCACUUUAUGUGAAUAUUUAUUUAAAAUAAUGUGUAAAAAGGUUUUACAUCAGAAUUUGAAUAUUAAGAACCACGUGAUCUUUCUUUCAAUUUUUUUUAAUGUUUAUUUAUGAGACAGAGAGAGACAGAGCAUGAGUGGGGGAGGGGCAGAGAGAGAGGGAAACACAGAAUCCAAAGUAGGCUCCAGGCUCUGGACUGUCAGCACAGAGCCCGACGAGGGGCUCAAACUCACAAACCGUGAAAUCACGACCUGAGCCAAAGUCGGUCGCUCAACCGACUGAGCCACCCAGGCACCCCACAAACCACUUGAUCUUUCUUACCCAUCUACUUAGAUAUUAGUUCUCUCUGUCCCCAGCCAGCACUUUGGUAACUUCUCUUUAUUUAAUUAUGCAUUCUGAUAUCACUACCAUUUUCAACAAUUUAUGAGCAAACCGUUUUGUAAAGCUUCUGUUGCUAGGUUACAUUCUCCUUUACUAGAAUCAUGGUGACUGAAUAAAAACUUACGUUCAUGUUCGCUCUCUCUCUCUCUCUCUUUUCUAUCUCUGUCUCUUCCUCUCUCUCCCUCCUUCCCCCCACCUUCUAUAUAGCCUAUUUGUUUAAUCAUCCCUUUGGAUUUAAUUCACUGUUCAAUGUAAUUAUUCUAUAAAUAUUUAUUGUAUGCAGUUUGCCUGGAUUUUUGCCUUACCUGACAGAAAAAUUAAAUGGGUUGAGUUUCUCAUUGAAAAGUUGUCAAAUUCUGGCAGGAUUGUAAGUGUAAGUUGUGGAAUUUCUUUUUCUUCAACGUGCAUGAUAUUUUCCACUUGUUCCUGAAGACCCAUGCUCUACCCUCUAUUUUGCACUGUGCCCUGGGAUGCUGACCUUUAUGGACUGCAUCCAUGAACUCUGUUUCCCGCUGGCUUCUGAUUGAGAUCAGCCAGUGGAAGCACUGACAGGUGAUCAGAGGCAGGGAAAAGAGUGAGGUUGUAGUAUUUGUUCCCUCAGCUCCUUUCUGUGUAGUUCAUCAUGUAUCCUUCUACUAAAGGUCAUGUGUCAGAUGGCUAUCUCUGUAUAGCUACUCUCUUUAGGUUUCAACACUGCUUCUUUACCUUGCCCUCUCAUCCUAAGGGCAGUAAUGGAUUCUCAUCGUAGCUUGCUCUGAGAUGCCCCAUCAUCCCUUUUUGGUGACUCUUAACUGUAUUAACACCUUUGUAAAUGGUGACUUUAUUGCAGUUUCUCAAUUACUAUGCUUGAGUGUGCCAUCUGCUGUUUUCUGAUGGAUAUGGCAGCAAGUGAGUUUUUUGGCUAAAGGCAGGAGAGCAAAACAAAUGUCCGAGGUAGGUGAAAUGAAGCAAAUCUUGGAUGGGGCAUUAGCUGGGCUUGUUACACCUACCCAGGUUGCUCCUGACACCAUUUCUGAUCAUGAGUCCUCAUCAAUGUUAGUAUAUAUCAUAAUCCCAACCUCAGGGACUAUAUACACAGAGAGCACCAGUUUUUUUUCUUUUUUAUUUAGUUCAGUUUUUAAUUUAGGAUAACUCAAGCAAUAAAGUUCUACCCAGUUUCUUUUUUUUUUAAUUGUUUUUUAACGUUUUUAUUUAUUUUUGGGACAGAGAGAGACAGAGCAUGAACGGGGGCAGGGCAGAGAGAGAGGGAAACACAGAAUCGGAAGCAGGCUCCAGGCUCUGAGCCAUCAGCCCAGAGCCUGAUGCGGGGCUCGAACUCACGGACCGCGAGAUUAUGACCUGAGCUGAAGUCAGACGCUUAACCGACUGAGCCACCCAGGCGCCCCUACCCAGUUUAAUUCUUAGUUUAAGCAACUUAAAAAGCUCUAAGCAUGGGACUUCAUUCAUAUAUUCAUUCAUUCAUUCAAAACUAUAGGAGCACUGUAGGUUGUCAUUUUCCAAACAUGAAUGAAUCAGAUCAUGUUUUGUUUCAAAAAUAUUUUGCAACUCUUUCGAUCUGUGUCUCCCUCCAUAAUUCAACUUAUUACUAUCUUAGUUUCCUCUUAAAAUAUAAUUGGUGCUACUAAUUUCACAAGAUUUGGAGGAAACUCAAAUAUGAUAAUGUCCAAAAUAGCUAUGAAAAGCAUCAUGUGCUAUAUAAAUAAAUAGGUUGUAGUUGUUAAAAUUUCUAUUACUGCGUCUUAUUCCUACCAAUAGUUUCACAUUGAUGAGAGAGAGGGGCAAUCUUAUCUUCACACAUAUGCAAAACAACUAAGCAUUAGUGUAGAAAUGGAAUGAUCUCAGCUUUUAGUAUGUAAUGUGUUUAAGCACUUUUAUGUUUUUGAUCAAAAUAUUUUUGGUUUCUUGUAACAGGACUACUCUAACUUAAUUCCCAUUGUAUGUGAGCAAGUUACUAACCAAGAAUGAGCACCAGCUAAAAUAAGUAUUCAGUCAACAUUAGUUUUUUCUAUAUUUCUAUAAUUUUGAAAGUAUAUGAUCCCAUGUUAUUGAUAUGGAGUCUAAUUGAUAUUCACAAGCAUGAAACCUGGAUUUAACAUGUAAGAUGGGUAUUUUCCCAACAUUUCCUGAGUAACAGAUUAUUUUAUCAAGGUUAUUAAUCAGUAUUGCAGCUUGUUCUUUUACUUUCUUUCU